rnacentral:rRNA from 1 species
AUUGAACGCUGGCGGCAGGCUUAACACAUGCAAGUCGAGCGAGCGGCGGACGGGUGAGUAAUGUCUGGGAAACUGCCUGAUGGAGGGGGAUAACUACUGGAAACGGUAGCUAAUACCGCAUACCAUCAGAUGUGCCCAGAUGGGAUUAGCUAGUAGGUGGGGUAAUGGCUCACCUAGGAGAAGAUCCCUAGCUGGUCUGAGGGGAUGACCAGCCACCCUGGAACUGAGAUACGGUCCAGACUCCUACGUGAGGCAGCAGUGGUGAAGAUUGCACAAUGGGCGCAAGCCUGAUGCAGCCAUGCCGCGUGUUGGAAGAAGGCCUUCUGGUUGUAAAGCACUUUCAGCUAGGAGGCGUUACUCGCAGAAGAAGCACCGGCUAACUCCGUGCCAGCAGCCGCGGUAAUUC